GACGUAGGAUGCGAGCGUUGUCCGGAUUUAUUGGGCGUAAAGAGUUCGUAGGCGUUCGUUAAGUCUGAUGUUAAAGACUGGGGCUCAACCCUGGGAGUGCAUUGGAUACUGGCGGACUGGAGUGCAGUAGAGGCAAGCGGAAUUCCCAGUGUAGCGGUGAAAUGCGUAGAUAUUGGGAAGAACACCGGUGGCGCAAGCGGCUUGCUGGGCUGUAACUGACGCUGAGGAACGAAAGCUAGGGGAGCGAAUGGG
rnacentral:rRNA from 1 species